CAUCACGUAAUUUCAUUUUUCUUUGAACUGAUUUAGAUCAAACACUUUAACUUUGUAGUUCAAAAUGAAAUGUAAUUUAUUGACGUAAAUAGUGAAAUCAAAUGUUUUAAGUGUCUCCACCACCAUAUACUAGAUAUGGAGAUGUUACACUUAAAAUGAGAGAGACUUUUUCAGACAGCUUUAGGUUGGAUCUGUUCGAAGUCAAAAACCUCAAACAUGAGCCUCCUAACAUCAGGCUUUCCGUAGACGGUAUACGCCAGUCCGUGAAUAGCUUGUUGAACAGCUGUCGUCGCAGGAUUCCUAAGUCUCCGGUUAUGCUCAUACCGAUCGUGAACCUCCUCCGAGUAGAUUAUAAAGUUGUGAAGACGUUUCUCCCUCAGGUACCUACCGCAGAACUUGUUCAUCAGCAAACGCCUAUGCUUCUCUUGCAGCCAUUUGCCAGGUGCGUCCAGGUGCUUCAUCAACAAACGCUCCGCCAUCGCUAUGUCCUGUAUCUUCUGCCCCACGUAUUCUAAUCUCUCGAAACAGAACCGAGGGUGUUCGAACUUGUGCUUUGAAGGAUGCAAGAAGCAGAGC